rnacentral:lncRNA from 1 species
UAUGGUACCUUCCUGGAGCCAUAAUACACAUAAAAAUGAGAACGACGAAAUUUUCCACAUAAUUACAAAAGUUCCUAAACAUAAAUGCACAGAAGAGAGACGAUCUCUACAUAAUACAGAAACCACAUAUUACCCAUUAACUUAAACUAUAUUUGUGAAAACAUUCAUGUAUGCUCAAGAAGCUAGAAAUUUGAGAUAUUGCUAAACCCAAAACAGAAUAAUAAUCAUCAGCAAUCUCUUCAUAUGAUUCUGAGUACUGGGAAGCAAAUCUGACUCGAGACAAUUUUUUUCUUCUACCAUGACUAUUCCAAUUCACACCAAACAAGGGGAGUCUAUUUCUUGAACAGAAACCCUGUACAUGAAACUUAAAUUUGAGAGUAUUUGUACACACUGGUGAUAGCAAUUGAGCCAUCACAAAAAAGAAUCAAAACUAAAACUGGUUCAAGAAUUGGAAAUAAUUGAUGUAAU